rnacentral:rRNA from 1 species
GAUGAACGCUGGCGGCGUGCCUAAUACAUGCAAGUCGAGCGAAUGGAUUAAGAGCUUGCUCUUAUGAAGUUAGCGGCGGACGGGUGAGUAACACGUGGGUAACCUGCCCAUAAGACUGGGAAAACUCCGGGAAACCGGGGCUAAUACCGGAUAAUAUUUUGAACUGCAUGGUUCAAAAUUGAAAGGCGGCUUCGGCUGUCACUUAUGGAUGGACCCGCGUCGCAUUAGCUAGUUGGUGAGGUAACGGCUCACCAAGGCAACGAUGCGUAGCCGACCUGAGAGGGUGAUCGGCCACACUGGGACUGAGACACGGCCCAGACUCCUACGGGAGGCAGCAGUAGGGAAUCUUCCGCAAUGGACGAAAGUCUGACGGAGCAACGCCGCGUGAGUGAUGAAGGCUUUCGGGUCGUAAAACUCUGUUGUUAGGGAAGAACAAGUGCUAGUUGAAUAAGCUGGCACCUUGACGGUACCUAACCAGAAAGCCACGGCUAACUACGUGCCAGCAGCCGCCGCGG